rnacentral:rRNA from 1 species
AGUCGAACGGAGUACCCUUGAGGGAGUUUUCGGACAACUGAGAGGACUACUUAGUGGCGGACGGGUGAGUAACGCGUGAGGAACCUACCUUGGAGAGUGGAAUAACACAGGGAAACUUGUGCUAAUACCGCAUAACGCAUUGAAGUCGCAUGGCUUUGAUGCCAAAGAUUUAUCGCUCUGAGAUGGCCUCGCGUCUGAUUAGCUAGUAGGUAGGGUAAUGGCUUACCUAGGCGACGAUCAGUAGCCGGACUGAGAGGUUGACCGGCCACAUUGGGACUGAGACACGGCCCAGACUCCUACGGGAGGCAGCAGUGGGGAAUAUUGGGCAAUGGGCGCAAGCCUGACCCAGCAACGCCGCGUGAAGGAAGAAGGCCCUCGGGUUGUAAACUUCUUUUAUUUAGGACGAAAAAAAUGACGGUACUGAAUGAAUAAGCCACGGCUAACUACGUGCCAGCAGCCGCGGUAAUACGUAGGUGGCAAGCGUUAUCCGGAUUUACUGGGUGUAAAGGGCGUGUAG